ACAAGUCCUGGUCCCCAUCUGGCAACACGGUCACCCCAUUAUCACAUGUGUGAAAGGUUUUCAAGGGAUGCUCCUGUGCUGUUCAUUUCAACUACUGAGCCUUCUACUGUACCAUUUUUCGUAGUGGCUGCGUAAAUAAGGACUGUUAAAGACUUUAUGUGUACUGCUUCAUCCGCCUUUGAUAUUGCUUGGCUUGCAUUCGUUCUACAAUAAAAGUAUAAUACGUUACACGGUCAAGCUGCUACCCUGAUAAAACCCUUUAUUAAGUGUGCAGUCAACAUUGUAAUAUAACGUUUUUAUAUAUUCGACCAUCAGGCAGGUGCAAAAAUAAUGUAUCCAAAGUUAAUGCUUAGGUACAAUCCUCAUUUUUCAGGAUUAGGAUUCUAUUUAUUGUCAUUACUAUGUGGUAAAAUCUAAUCCGCAAGUGCAUUAAAUUGCAAAAAAUAUAUAUUUAUGUAUAAUGACUGGAGUAUUUAUAAGUAUAUGUAAUGGAUAGAGAGUACUAUAAAAAUACACACAAGAUUUUACACACCUUGCUUACAAUACACGUGUAAAAGUAAUUUAACCACUGUUAAUUCGUCUGUCAUUAAUUUUUUAAUAUUUAACCAAAACUAAGAGAAUAAUAUAACUUGUAUUUUUCAAUAUCUUCAAUUCUUGUCUCGGUUAACAAAGACAUGCCAUUACCUCAACUUUUUUAGACUCCAUUAUCAAUCAAUCAAUGUUUACUUAUAUAGCCCUGAAUCACUAGUGUCUCAAAGGGCUGCACAAACCACUACGGCAUCCUCGGUAGGCCCACAUAAGGGCAAGGAAAACUCACACCCAGUGGGACAUCGGUGACAAUAAUGACCCAGUGGGACGUCGGUGACAAUGAUGACUAUGAGAACCUUGGAGAGGAGGAAAGCAAUGGAUGUCGAGCGGGUCUAACAUGAUACUGUGAAAGUUCAAUCCAUAAUGGAUCCAACACAGUCGCGAGAGUCCAGUCCAAAGCGGAUCCAACACAGCAGCGAGAGUCCCGUUCACAGCGGAGCCAGCAGGAAACCAUCCCAAGCGGAGGCGGAUCAGCAGCGCAGAGAUGUCGCCAGCCGAUACACAGGCAAGCAGUACAUGGCCACCGGAUCGGACCGGACACCCUCCACAAGGGAGAGUGGGACAUAGAAGAAAAAGAAAAUAAGUCUUCCUGUCUUUUUUUUUUUUUUUAACUGCAAGUCCAAGUAAAACUACUUUCGGGUAAACCUGGUUUCUCAAAUAGAAAAGCAAAAAGUAUGUUGAAAAUGUCCGUUUGUCCAUUUUCCAAUUGUGCACAAAAUCGAAAAUGAGAAAAACAUUUCAACAAGUCUUUUUUUAUUUUUAGUUAACGUUUUUUAUGUUGACAAAGAAAUUUACAGAUAAUAAUAGUGUUAAGUACUUGUACUUGGAACGCAUCUCUUUCCAUCGCCAGACUCCAUAUGCCGCCCCCUCUUGGUGUGACGUUGUCUACAGAACAGGAGCCCAUUUCCCCGCGUAGACAGUGUAGAAUAAGGCAUUUCAAAAUAUUAUUUUGAUCACUUAAUUGCAUGUUUUUGUCGCCCUGGUCCAUGGCUACUUAAAAACUGAUAUAGUUAGCAUUAUGAUUAAAAAAGACAGUUCCGGAGUUCUGUGUUCUUUCACAGACACCAUAGCAUGUUUCCUCAUGCUCUUUCAGCAUUUCCUCAAACUUCUUGAGGAAAACAUCAGUGGAAGAGGACAACACAUACUUUCUUUUUUUCUUACCUUCUUUUACUUUUAUUUUUGAUUGCCGGGGCUGCUUUUCUUUCCCUGUUUAUAUCGUGAAGUGAAGUGAAUUAUAUUUAUAUAGCGCUUUUCUCUAGCGACUAAAAGCGCUUUACACAGUGAAACCCAAUAUCUAAGUUACAUUUUUAAACCAGUGUGGGUGGCACUGGGAGCAGGUGGGUAAAGUGUCUUGCCCAAGGACACAACGGCAGUGACUAGGAUGGCGGAAGCGGGAAUCGAACCUGCAACCCUCAAGUUGCUGACACGGCCGCUCUACCAACCGAGCUGUACCGCCCCGUGAUUCUGAUAAAGAUGCUACCAAAACCCAAACUACACUAGGGUUGUACGGUAUACCGGUAUUAGUAUAGUACCGUGAUACUAAAGAAUCAUAAUUGGUACUAUACCUAUAGCCGCUAAAAAGUACCCGUUUGACACCCUCCCAACCCCCUAACCCGAGGUAUAGGUAUAAGGGUUAGGGGUUAGGGUUAAGUAGAUUAAUCAUUCAUUUUUUACCACUUGUCCUUAAUAAUUUGGACAAAAUGAUAGAAUAGAAAAUGACACAAUAUGUUACUGCAAAUUAGGAGCCUUUGUUUGCUUACUUACUGCUCAUUGUUCUUGUGGUUAGAGCGUCCGCCCUGAGAUCGGUAGGUUGUGAGUUCAAACCCCGGCCGAGUCAUACCAAAGACUAUAAAAAUGGGACCAAUUACCUCCCUGCUUGGCACUCAGCAUCAAGGGUUGGAAUUGGGAGUUAAAUCAUCAAAAAUGAUUCCCGGACGUGGCCACCGCUGCUGCUCACUGCUCCCCUCACCUCCCAGGGGGUGAACAAGAGGAUGGGUCAAAUGCAGAGGACAAAUUUCACCACACCUAGUGUGUGCGUGACAAUCAUUGGUACUUAACUCUCCUGAAGGAAUCAAUACAGUACUAUCUAUCUUUAAAAGAGAAGUUGUCCUGUAUGUUCACUAUUAAAAUAAAGCCAGUAAUGCAUUUUUUUUGCGGUCCUCUUUAUUUAGAAAAGUACCGAAAAGUAUGGACAAAUUUUGGUACCAAUCCAAUCCAAUCCACUUUAUUUAUAUAGCACAUUCAAACAACAAUAACGUUUCCAAAGUGCUGCACAGCCAUGUUAAAAACAAUAUUAAAAAAAUAUAUAUAUAUUAUGCUCCACCAAUGACUGAAUAAACACAAAAAAUAAAUAAAUAUAAAACCAAAAAAAACAAUAUAAAACAAAUAUGAUUAAAAACUAUUUUAAGGGGUAAAAUCAAUUAAAACAGUAAAAUAGAAAUCAAAGUGUAUAAAAAACACAGAGGACAACAGAGGACAGAGGACAACACAACUCACCUUGUGUUAAAAGCCAAAGAAUAAAAGUGGGUCUUAAGACGAGACUUAAAACACUCCACUAUGGAAGCAGUUUGAACGUGGAGGGUCAGAGUGUUCCAGAUAUACCGGUACAAAAAUAUUGGUAUCGGGACGAUCUAAACUACACCAUAUGAAAUUACCUGCAGUCUUCUGUGGGUGACGUCAGCAGACCGUCCACAUUUUGGCGCUAAAGGUGACCGUUCUCAAAAGUGCUGUAAACUUUUUUUUUUUUU